rnacentral:rRNA from 1 species
UACAGAGGCCUCGAGCGUUUGUUCGGAAUUACUGGGCGUAAAGGGAAUGUAGGUGGUGACGUAAGUCAGAUGUGAAAGCCCUGGGCUUAACCCGGGAAGUGCAUUUGAUACUGCGUCGCUGGAGUGCGAGAGAGGAAAGUGGAAUUCCCAGUGUAGGGGUGAAAUCCGUAGAUAUUGGGAGGAAUACCGAUGGCGAAGGCAGCUUUCUGGCUCGUAACUGACACUGAGAUUCGAAAGCGUGGGUAGCAAACAGG